rnacentral:rRNA from 1 species
CGGUAAUUCCAGCUCCAAUAGCGUAUACUAAAGUUGUUGCAGUUAAAAAGCUCGUAGUUGGAUUUCUGCGGGGACGGAGCGGCCGGUCGCAACUUGCGACUCGAGCUAGCGCUUUCCCCGCAUCCUGCCGCGAACCGUGCUACCAUUAGUUUGGUGGCGCUGGGGAUCGGCUCGAUUACUUUGAGAAAAAUAGAGUGUUCAAAGCAGGCCACACGCCUUGAAUAAGUCAGCAUGGAAUAAUGACUAAGGACUUUGGUUCUUUUCGUUGGUGUUCGGGACUGAAGUAGUGAUUGAUAGGGACAGUUGGGGCGGUCCGUAUUCCAAAGCGAGAGGUGAAAUUCUUAGACCUUCGGAAGACGAACAGCUGCGAAAGCGUUCCGCAAGGAUGUUCCCUUUGAUCAAGAACGAAAGUUGGGGGAUCGAAGACGAUCAGAUACCGUCGUAGUCUCAACUAUAAACUAUACCAGCUAGGGAUCGGCCAACGUUUAAUUAUUCGACUUGGUCGGCACCUUAUGAGAAAUCAAAGCAUCUGGGUUCCGGGGGGAGUAUGGUCGCAAGGCUGAAACUUAAAGGAAUUGACGGAAGGGCACCACCAGCCGUGGAGCCUGUGGCUUAAUUUGACUCAACACGGGAAAACUUACCAGGUCCGGACAUAGUAAGGAUUGACAGAUUGAUAGCUCUUUCUUGAUUCUGUGGGUGGUGGUGCAUGGCCGUUUUUAGUCGGUGGAUGUGAUCUGUCUGCUUAAUUGCGUUAACGGACGAGACCCCAGCCUGCUAAAUAGCGCGGCCGAGCUUUGCUCGGUGCGAGCUUCUUAGAGGGACCAUGAUGCGCGAUAGCACAAGGAAGUUUGGGGCAACAACAGGUCUGUGAUGCCCUUAGAUGUUCUGGGCCGCACACGGGCUACACUGGCGCCUGCAACGAGCAUAUCAGCUGGCCCGAGAGGGUCUUGGCUAAUCUUUGGAACCGGCGCCGUGCUUGGGAUUGACCAUUGCAAUUGUUGGUCAUGCAACGAGGAAUGCCUUGUAAACGCGAGUCAUCAGCUCGCAUUGAAUACGUCCCUGCCCUUUGUACACACCGCCCGUCGCUCCUACCGAUGAAUGUUCCGAUGAAAUUUUCGGAGAGCACCAGAGAACGGGGCUCUGCCUUGCAGAUCUGGAGGCUCAAAGUCACUUAAAUCUGAACAUUUCGAGGAAGGAGAAGUCGUAACAAGGUAGCCG